CCUCCAAGGCUAAAUACUCCUGACUGACCGAUAGUGAACCAGUACCGUGAGGGAAAGGCGAAAAGAACCCCGGCGAGGGGAGUGAAAAAGAACCUGAAACCGUGUACGUACAAGCAGUGGGAGCACGGAGCAAUCUGUGUGACUGCGUACCUUUUGUAUAAUGGGUCAGCGACUUAUAUUCUGUAGCAAGGUUAACCGAAUAGGGGAGCCGAAGGGAAACCGAGUCUUAACUGGGCGUUAAGUUGCAGGGUAUA
rnacentral:rRNA from 1 species